UUUUCCCCAAAAAUUAAAAAGCCAUGUAGUAGAGGGUUUUAAGGGCUUGUCCCAGGAUGUUAUCUGGUUCUGCUACCUUGCGGGGGUUGAUCCUCCUCAGGGCUAAAACCCUGAAAAUGUGAAAAAGAGUUGAUGUAAGUUUAGAUGAAACCUGGGGACUUAUGUCUGCUAAUUAAUUUCAGCAGGUUGAAUCAUACAUUGUUGUAAAUAUAUUUACCUGUGACUCAUAGCGCUAUGGCUGAAAAUGUUUUCCUUUAUUCUGAAAGCAGUAAAUGUACUUAAUGCUUUCCUGCAUUUAACAUCACACAUUAAUAAGAAGAUUACUACCCUCACAGACAUAAACCUCAGUCAGAAACCCUCAGUCAGGAAUGCCGAAUCAGAAUAAUUAAUUUUUUCAAUUCUCAACAUCAAGCAGUGUAAGCUGCUGUUAUGUUUACGCUUGUUUCCGCCUACAAUGCUGCUACAGUGGAGUCUUUGUUUGGAAGGUGGUACUGGCAGAGAAAAGAGUGAUGUUUCAAGUGCUUCAGCCAUUGUCUGAUUCACUUUUCUUCAACUUCUGCCUCACCAUCAACAUUUCUUAUUUUGGUGCAGACUCUGACUCGUAAAAUGGGGAUGGGUUUUCCUGGAAGUGUAUUAUACCGACGAUUUGUCACCUAGCAUAGAAUGUUACGCUUUGGGAGUGAGAACGUGUUGCUGAAGUAGAUGUCAUGUUGCCUGGAAAUCCUGCUGCAGUUCUGAACCAAGGUUUCUGAGUCAUGAUGGUUGUUUCUUUUGGUUCCUUUUUAGUCUGAAAUCAGAUAUGAUAUCAGCACUUCUGAGUUCAUCCAUCAUUAUUGUCCAGUGAUGAGAUUACUGCUCCAUUUGACUGACCAAUUGUCGACUCUCAGCGACUCACUGUAAAGUUGUGGCCUCAGCUCUGAAGUCCAACCCCUCCCAUCUGACAGAGCUGGAUAUGAGUUACAACGACCUGCAGGAUUCAGGAGCGAAUCUUCUGUGUGCUGGACUGGAGAGUCCAAACUGUCGACUGGAGACUCUGAGGUGAGUUCACUGACUGCAGCUGUUGUUGUUUUUCUAUAUUUCAGAUCUUUGAUUGAUGUUUGAAACUUUCUUUAGUUCCUAAAUGUUCAGGAUGUGUCUGAAGACAAAUGUGAAGAAGUUUGAGUGCUUUCAGAAAUGUUGUCUUUCCAAACGACUGAA